CCUACGGGGUGCAGCAGUGGGGAAUAUUGGACAAUGGGCGAAAGCCUGAUCCAGCCAUGCCGCGUGUGUGAAGAAGGCCUUCGGGUUGUAAAGCACUUUCAGUGGGGAAGAAAGCCUUGGGGCUAAUACCCUCGAGGAAGGACAUCACCCACAGAAGAAGCACCGGCUAACUCCGUGCCAGCAGCCGCGGUAAUACGGAGGGUGCGAGCGUUAAUCGGAAUUACUGGGCGUAAAGCGCGCGUAGGCGGUCUGAUAAGCCGGUUGUGAAAGCCCCGGGCUCAACCUGGGAACGGCAUCCGGAACUGUCAGGCUAGAGUGCAGGAGAGGAAGGUAGAAUUCCCGGUGGAGCGGUGAAAUGCGUAGAGAUCGGGAGGAAUACCAGUGGCGAAGGCGGCCUUCUGGACUGACACUGACGCUGAGGUGCGAAAGCGUGGGUAGCAAACAGGAUUAGAUACCCCUGUAGUC
rnacentral:rRNA from 1 species